rnacentral:rRNA from 1 species
AAGGGGGGCAACCCCCGAGUAGAGUGGCGGACGGGUGAGUAAUACAUCGGAACGUGCCCAGUAGUGGGGGACAACCUCGAGAAAUCGAGGCUAAUACCGCAUACGACCUACGGGUGAAAGCGGGGGACCGCAAGGCCUCGCGCUAUUGGAGCGGCCGAUGUCCGAUUAGCUUGUUGGUGGGGUAACGGCCCACCAAGGCGACGAUCGGUAGCUGGUCUGAGAGGACGACCAGCCACACUGGGACUGAGACACGGCCCAGACUCCUACGGGAGGCAGCAGUGGGGAAUUUUGGACAAUGGGGGCAACCCUGAUCCAGCCAUGCCGCGUGCGGGAAGAAGGCCUUCGGG